rnacentral:rRNA from 1 species
AAGGAUCAUUAUCAUGUAAAUUCAGUCAUGCUUGCUGCGUGAGCUGCGAUACACCCACACUGCGUACACCUCUCCUGUUGCUUCCGCCGGGUGCGGACUAAAGUCUCCGUGCCCGGCGGAGAAUAAACCCCAAGUCAUACAAAUAGAAUCUGUCUGAACAAACGAAGAAACCAAAUGAAAUGUUAAAACUUUCAGCAACGGAUCUCUUGGUUCUCGCAUCGAUGAAGAACGCAGCGAAAUGCGAUAAGUAGUGUGAAUUGCAGAAUUCAGUGNAUCAUCGAAUCUUUGAACGCACAUUGCGCCUCCCGGUAUUCCGGGAGGCAUGCCUGUUCGAGAGUCAUUGACAACCACAUCGAAUCCCCCCGUUUCAGUCCUCGAGGGAUUUGGGGGGAGAUCGGUUCUGGUGGAGGAGGAAUUAUUGAGAUGCCUCGCUACGCUUGGCAAAUCCCCUCCCCUCCGAAAUUCAUAGGCGGUCCGUGUCAAACCCAGAUGUUAUAUGGGCGCGUGGUAGAGGAAGGCGCCUCACAAUUUUGGAGGAGCCACUUGUCGCGUGCGUAUAAUAAUGCUGGUUUUUGACCCCACUUUGUUACGGUGUCGGAAGAGCAGGCUUCUCGGUCUGUCCCCGUUGGGGAGAGGCGGAGGUACUCGGCCCAUUCCAGCGCUUGCAUGAGGUUUCGGGACCACGGGCUAGCCAGCGAUCCAAGAACAGGAAUAAAAAUCGCCCGUGGCUUUUUUAUUACUAAAUCAAUGGUUGACCUCGGAUCAGGUAGGGAUACCCGCUGAACUUAAGCAUAUCAAUAAGCGGAGGAAAAGAAACCAACCGGGAUUGCCUCAGUAACUGCGAGUGAAGUGGCAAAAGCUCAAAUUUGAAAUCCGGUACCUUUGGUGCCUGACUUGUAAUUUGGAGAGACAAAUUUGGUUGACGGCGCCGGCCUAGGUUCCUUUGAACAGGACAACACAGAGGGUGAGAAUCCCGUGCACGGUCGGACCUGCUGUCGCAUUGCUAAAUUGUCUUCGACGAGUCGAGUUGUUUGGGAAUGCAGCUCAAAAUGGGUGGUAAAUGUCAUCUAAAGCUAAAUAUUGGCGAGAGACCGAUAGCGCACAAGUAGAGUGAUCGAAAGAUGAAAAGCACUUUGAAAAGAGAGUCAAAAAGUACGUGAAAUUGCUGAAAGGGAAGCGCUUGAGACCAGACUCGAACCGUGGUGAUCGACCGUGCUUCUGUGCGGAGUCACUUGCCAUGGUUCGGGCCAGCAUCGGUUCCGGCGGCCGGAUAAAAGGUGGAGGAAUGUAGCUUCCCCCGGGGAGUGUUAAUUUAGCCACCACCACAAUGCGGCCAGCUGGGACCGAGGAACGCGCUCCACG